UCAGUAGUCGAUGCCUUCGAGUUAUGAUAUAUCUUUCACCUAUGGCUUGGAUUUGAUGGGUGCCUUUAAACUAAACCCAAAAGAUUUGAUAGGAUCAAGGACUACGAUGUGCCCUUCUCGUUCUGUUGCCAUAUAUAUUUCAGGGCGAUAUAGUCAUGACCCUAAUCCGCCGCCAUACUGAAGGGUUUGGGAGUUUUAUUUUCCUGGUAUCAAUGCUUUAGUGGAGAACAGGUUGGAUUUCCUGUGGGAUUUUAAUUUUCAAUGACUGGAGAUGUAAAUGGUGGGACAGAGUCAUGGAUUUCACACAACACCUGUCGACGGCACAACCGCUAUCCAGAAGUUUGACCAGUGGCUGGGGAAACCCAGGCUGGCUUUAGAAAAGGAUAUUCAGCAGCAGAUCACAUUUUCUCGCUAUAUGCUACCAUCCAAAAAACUUUACUAAAGAAAAAAAAGAAGUUAUAUGCCUCCUUUGUUGACUUCCGAAAGGCCUUUGAUGAGAUCGACCAUAAAAAACUAUGGGAAUGUCUUUAUGCAACUGGUAUAAGUGGAAAGAUGCUUAGAGGAGUGAAAAGUAUUUAUAGCUCUGUUAAA